rnacentral:rRNA from 1 species
GGGGGGCUAUAAUGCAAGUCGAGCGGACCAAUGAAGAGCUUGCUCUUCGUGCGGUUAGCGGCGGACGGGUGAGUAACACGUAUGCAACCUGCCUGUACGACUGGGAUAACUCCGGGAAACCGGAGCUAAUACCGGAUACUUCUUUCAGACCGCAUGGUCUGAAAGGGAAAGACCUUUGGUCACGUACAGAUGGGCCUGCGGCGCAUUAGCUAGUUGGUGGGGUAACGGCCUACCAAGGCGACGAUGCGUAGCCGACCUGAGAGGGUGAUCGGCCACACUGGGACUGAGACACGGCCCAGACUCCUACGGGAGGCAGCAGUAGGGAAUCUUCCGCAAUGGACGAAAGUCUGACGGAGCAACGCCGCGUGAACGAUGAAGGUUUUCGGAUCGUAAAGUUCUGUUGUUAGGGAAGAACCGCCGGGAUGACCUCCCGGUCUGACGGUACCUAACGAGAAAGCCCCGGCUAACUACGUGCCACCAGCCGC